rnacentral:rRNA from 1 species
GGCCCACAUUGGGACUGAGACACGGGCCCCAGACUCCUACGGGGAGGCAGCAGUCGGGAAUAUUGCACAAUGGAGGAAACUCUGAUGCAGUGACGCCGCGUAUAGGAUGAAGGUCUUUGGAUUGUAAACUAUUGUCGACAAGGAAGAAAAAAAUGACAGUACUUGUGGAGGAAGCUCCGGCUAACUACGUGCCAGCAGCCGCGGUAAUACGUAGGGAGCGAGCGUUAUCCGGAUUUAUUGGGUGUAAAGGGCGCGUAGACGGAUUUGCAAGUUGGAUGUGAAAUCCCUGGGCUUAACCCAGGAACUGCAUCCAAAACUGUAAACCUUGAGUAUGGGAGAGGAAAGCGGAAUUCCUAGUGUAGCGGUGAAAUGCGUAGAUAUUAGGAGGAACACCAGUGGCGAAGGCGGCUUUCUGGACCAAAACUGACGUUGAGGCGCGAAAGUGUGGGGAGCAAACAGGAUUAGAUACCCUGGUAGUCCACACCGUAAACGAUGGAUACUAGGUGUAGGAUGGAUCAAACCGUUCUGUGCCGGCGUUAACACAAUAAGUAUCCCACCUGAGUAGUACGACCGCAAGGUUAAAACUCAAAGGAAUUGACGGGGGCCCGCACAAGCAGUGGAGUAUGUGGUUUAAUUCGACGCAACGCGAAGAACCUUACCAGGGCUUGACAUACAUAGGAAUAACUAAGAGAUUAGUUAGUCCUUCGGGACCUAUGAACAGGUGGUGCAUGGUUGUCGUCAGCUCGUGUCGUGAGAUGUUGGGUUAAGUCCCGCAACGAGCGCAACCCCUAUUGUUAGUUGCCAGCAGGUAGAGCUGGGCACUCUAGCGAGACUGCCGUGGAUAACACGGAGGAAGGUGGGGAUGACGUCAAAUCAUCAUGCUCUUUAUGUCCUGGGCUACACACGUACUACAAUGGGGGAGUACAGAGGGAAGCUAAACCCGAGGUGGAGCAAACCCAAAAACUCCUCUCAGUUCAGAUUGCAGUCUGAAAUUCGACUGUAUGAAGAUGGAAUUGCUAGUAAUUGCAGGUCAGC